UACGGGGGGUGCGAGCGUUGUCCGGAAUCACUGGGCGUAAAGGGCGCGUAGGUGGUCUUGUAAGUUUGCGGUGAAAGCCCGGGGCUCAACCCCGUGUCUGCCGCGAAUACUGCGAGACUUGAGUACUGUAGAGGCUGGUAGAAUGCCGGGUGUAGCGGUGGAAUGCGUAGAGAUCCGGCAGAAGACCGGUGGCGAAGGCGGCCAGCUGGGCAGUGACUGACACUGAGGCGCGACAGCGUGGGGAGCAAACAGG
rnacentral:rRNA from 1 species